rnacentral:rRNA from 1 species
UCCGAGAGGCCCAACCGUUAUUCGGAAUUACUGGGCUUAAAGAGUUCGUAGGCGGCGCAGCAAGUAGGGUGUGAAAGCCCUCGGCUCAACCGAGGAAUUGCGCUCUAAACUACUGUGCUUGAGGAACCUAGAGGUGAGCAGAACUGAUGGUGGAGCGGUGAAAUGCGUUGAUAUCAUCAGGAAUACCGGAGGCGAAGGCGGCUCACUGGGGGUUUUCUGACGCUGAGGAACGAAAGCCAGGGGAGCGAACGGG